GGAACAGAGUUACAUUGAUUUGAAUAUAAACCGAGUACUUAAUUUGUUUAACACUUUAUUUCAAACAUGAAAAAGCAAAAAAAGGGCAGAUAAUAAAAUUAUCUCCCUUGGUCUUUGAAACCGACCUUUGCUCUGCCUGACACAAAAUGAUAUGAAUCUGUACUAGAAAGAAAUGUAACAUAGUCACAGAAAAUAAUAAUGUCUUCUACAAGAACUGCUUUUGCUUGGACUGCAUUUCAACUGACAAAUAGUUUUCGUCGAGAAUUUGUUGCGCCACAUAUUGUUAAAAUACAACUCCCUGGUGGAUUUCCAUACGAAGCAUUUGAUGGACAAGCAAAUAUUAAACCCUGGAGUCUGUUAUCUUUGGUGGAAUCUGGUAGAGCAUUCUCAUGUAACGGCAAUCAGAAUGAUUCAGAAUGAUCCAGAACGAGGAUUCUUAGAUUUUAAUAUACAGUACAAAAAUAUCUUAGGUUUUAUUGGGACAUCUUCGUUGACCAUCAGCCCAGAUUUAUACAAGAAAGAGACCAGCAAGAGUCUGCUAAUAAUAACAGAAAAAUUAGUUUCUGCAGGGACAUCAUCACUGAAUAUUUUAACAGAAGUAUCUCAUCCAGAAAUAGAAACACCUUUAGCAGCAUGUAGAGUUCAGACAGUUUGCGUUGAUAAAACUACCCGCCGUCCAAAACCAUUUCUGGAAUGGUGGACUGAGAAAUAUAAGAAAUAUUCUAAGCCAGAAGAAGUUUUAAAAUGGAGACUAAGUUACCCGCGCCCGUCUGCUGUCUCAUCAUAUCCUCUGAUAAUACCACCAAGUGACUGUGAUGCGUAUUCACAUACGAACUGGACAAAUUAUUUAAAAUUUUGUUGUGAUGCUUUAGUUUCUACAAAUGUUAAAAAAGACGGAACUGAUUUAAAAUUACCGCAGAUUAAAUUAGCGUUGUUAAGCUAUGUUAAAGAAGGAAAUGUUGGAGAACAACUUUCUGUUGAUUUCUGGUCACCCCCAGAAAAAAAAUGUAUCUGUUUUGAAAUAUUAGAUGAAAAGAAAGAAAUUAUAUGUCAAGCACAAUUAGAAAUGCAUGAAAACAGUAGCUAAAUGUAAGUUUAAAGUAUGAGAACGAUCUUGCAAAUAAUUUAAUUUAAUUUUUUUAACAAGAAGCUCAAGAAAAUAUGCAAGUGUCAAAAUUUAACCUAAAGUUAACAUAUAUUCAAGUGUAGAUUUAGAAGUCAGUGUGCAAUGUAUUAAUAAAGGGAAGUUAUCCUGUUUGGUGUGGUGAGUCAGGUAAAAAUCUCAUUUGACUUAGUUUCAGGCAUAGUUGGUACAGGUGUGUAGAUGAUCCUAAUAAACUUAGAACAAAGUUGCAAAAGUAAUUUCAGAGUUAUUGCCCAAGACUGGUAGGAGUGUUAAUAAACACAAAUGACUAUAUUCAUAUAAACAAUGUACAGAGUGAAAUGAUUGAUCUAUUCUGACCAAGUUUUCAGAAAUGGAUAUUAUUUGGUUAGAAAAAGAUCGUUAUCAGUUCUUAAUGUGUUCUGAGUCUUUCCAGAGUUAUGCCCCUCGAUUAGAGUAUCUUGAUCUAUUGUAGGCCUACUACCCACACUAUGGGCUUGGAUGGCCGAAUGGUUAGCAGGUGCGCGCUGUAUCAUAAGGUCUUUCAUUGAGUCAACUGGCGGGGUUUAGAUUCCCCAGUUGUACAUGAUAAGGAGUAGGGUCACCUGCUCAACCUUGUAGGUUUUCUCCAGGUUUCUUCCCACCGCUAAAGACCCCUACAUGCAAGUGAAUUAUUGAAUUAAAAUUGAACCGUGUGUUAGUCUCGGAAUGACCUAGUUUGUGUUGGACGUUAAACCCUGUUUCUCAUUCUCUCCCUAUGGAGUUGAGUUCUUGACUAAUUUUCACAAACCUCGGAUCGUGAUCAUUAUUUACAAUACACAUCUGUAAUCCCAAAACUUGUGUAUGAUUAAAAAAAAAACCUUACAAAAUAGUGAAAAAAUCUUGAAUGUUGAAAACGAAAGCCCUGGCACUUGUAAGACGUUUUAUUUUAAUCCCUCAAAUACUUGUGAAUGAAACUGGGCACAUGUUAACUUGCCUGGCAAACUAUGUUUACAUAUCUAGACAUUUGUUGGUAUGAGGCUUUGAUAUACCUCUAAUCAAAUUACCUCUAUUUAUAUUUAUUCAUGGAUGAAUUUAUUUAUUGAUUUUUAUAUUAUUAAUUUCAAUACAGAUCUUAGAUUAUCAAACAUUAUACAAAAAAGAUGUAAAUAAAUAGUUUGAAAUGA